rnacentral:rRNA from 1 species
GACGUAGGGCGCGAGCGUUGUCCGGAUUUAUUGGGCGUAAAGAGCUCGUAGGCGGCUUGUUGCGUCAGCUGUGAAAACCCGCAGCUCAACUGUGGGCUUGCAGCUGAUACGGGCAGGCUAGAGUUCGGUAGGGGAGACUGGAAUUCCUGGUGUAGCGGUGAAAUGCGCAGAUAUCAGGAGGAACACCGAGUGGCGAAGGCAGGUCUCUGGGCCGAUACUGACGCUGAGGAGCGAAAGCGUGGGGAGCGAACAGG